UCUUUCUCUUUCUCUCUCUCUCUCUCUCUCUUUCUCUCUCUCUUUUGCAAUACCAGGUUAUUUUGGCUUGCAAUUCAGGUCCUGCUCUGAAUGACGUCACGUAUAACGAAUCCUUGCUUGUGGCGGAAAGGAUUGCGACUAUGGACAGUGUAAUUCGAACUGCCCUGAAGGAAGAGAAGCUCCUCUUGGUCCAGACCGGCUCCAGUUCGCCCUGCUUGGACCUCAGCCGCCUGGACAAGGGCCUGGCCAGCCU